rnacentral:tRNA from 1 species
GCCCAGCUGGCUCAAUUGGUGGAGCAUGAGACUCUUGAUCUCAGAGUCAUGGGUUCAAGCUCCACGUAGGGUG